GAUGAACGCUGGCGGCGUGCCUAAUACAUGCAAGUCGAGCGAACAGACGAGGAGCUUGCUCCUCUGACGUUAGCGGCGGACGGGUGAGUAACACGUGGAUAACCUACCUAUAAGACUGGGAUAACUUCGGGAAACCGGAGCUAAUACCGGAUAACAUGUUGAACCGCAUGGUUCAACAGUGAAAGACGGUCUUGCUGUCACUUAUAGAUGGAUCCGCGCCGCAUUAGCUAGUUGGUAAGGUAACGGCUUACCAAGGCAACGAUGCGUAGCCGACCUGAGAGGGUGAUCGGCCACACUGGAACUGAGACACGGUCCAGACUCCUACGGGAGGCAGCAGUAGGGAAUCUUCAGCAAUGGGCGAAAGCCUGACGGAGCAACGCCGCGUGAGUGAAGAAGGUCUUCGGAUCGUAAAACUCUGUUAUUAGGGAAGAACAAAUGUGUAAGUAACUAUGCACGUCUUGACGGUACCUAAUCAGAAAGCCACGGCUAACUACGUG
rnacentral:rRNA from 1 species